CUCUUACUCCGAUUAUUAAACGGUUUGGCGGUAAUUAGCAUGCUUAAACAUAUACUACCUAAUACCCAAGCGAAAGCGUAGUAUUAUUUAAUGCAUCACUACAAGCUGCAUAGUAAUGCAAAGCGACAGAAAUUUACAGAAUAAUAAUACAUAAAAUAGCCUAAAUACAAUCAAUAAAAGAAUCAAAGAGAAAGCUAAACUAAAACUUCAAAGUUCCAAUCUUCGUAUAGCCUAAAUUCAAUCAAUAAAAGAAUCAAAGAGAAAGCUAAAUUAAAACUUCAAAGUUCCCAUCUUCAAAUGUAUUCAUGCUUUCAUAUUUUCAGCUUACACAAUGUUACGGUCGUGUACCUGAUAUUGGAAACAAGAGGAAGAAGCUGAGAAAUCAGCAAGGCAGUAAUCAACACAGCAAAACAGCAAUAGCAGUAGCUAAACCCAACAACAUAUUUCAACAAAACCCAGUAAAAUCAAACCAGGAAAUACCAACAGAAAUGGACUUCACCACACAACAAUAUCAACACAGGCCAAAUGAACUCAAAGACACACUAGAAUUACUUAAGAUCGGUCUUAGUGUAUUUGAAUCAAGAGAAAUGAAAUCAAUGAAGCAAGAAGAGAAGCUUUAAAUAAUCAAUGGGGUUUUCAGCUCUUUAACUUUUCAACUCUCAAUCCUUUUCUUAUUCUAUGUUUUCAAAGCAAGAAAAGAAGCUUCAAAUAAACAGUGGGGUUUUCGGAUCUCUAAUCUUUUCAACUCUCAAUUCUUUUCUUAUUCUAUGUUUUCGUUCUCUUAAGUUCUAAAAAAAUUCUCUCCAUUCAGUCCCUUUUUAAGUAUUAAAUGAGUCCUAUUAUAUACCCAAAGCAAGACUCAUCUCUUCUACCUUUUUACUAUUAUUACUACCCCUUUUAUUAUUACCCAUAUUAUUUCUGAUUUCUAAUUAAGUAAAAAGCAGUCAACGCGGACCCCACCGUUCCCCUCUUUUCAAUGGACCACAUUAUUAAUCCUCUUUUUACUUUACAUCAUUAUGCUCCCCACAAGUCUUGUCCCCUCUUAUUUUAAUUAAAAGUUAUGGGCCCACAUUCAAUCGAUUUCCAAAAUACCCCCGAAAUUAUUGAAAUUACACUCUACCCCAUCCUCUCAAUCUGCACCAAAAUUAUCAAAAAAAACACCAACUUACUACAACUAUAACCAAAUUCCUGAUCAAAUUCAAUCAUUAAUUCAAAUUAUAUGAUAAACAACAAAGAACCAACUAAAAUUAUUUUGAACAAUAUUCUUAACAAACAUACUUUCAAAUUCAAUAACAAUAACAAAAUUGAACACAACAAACUAGUAGACUUCAAUCACUAAACUCAAACUCAAAUUAAACUUAACAGAUCAAACAAACAAAUUCAAAUCUCUAACUCAGAUCCAAAUUUAGACUUAACACAACAAUUAAACAGAUUCAAAUCACUAAACUCAAUAAUCAAUUGAACUUCAAAUUAUAUCUAACAAUCAAGGUAAGGGAAAAACAAAUUCAAAUCACAAAACUCAAUAAACAAUUGAACUUCAAAUUAAAUCUAACAACAUUGCAAUCAAGAUGAAAGAUUUAUUAAACUAACACACUUCUAUAUUAAAACUAAAUUCUUUUAAACAAAUAAAAACAAAAUGAAGAAAUAAAGAAGAAAAUGAUAACCAACGAACAAGAAAAUAAUGAAACAUAUACUGAUUUUGGAUCCGAGAAUAUCAAACAAAAUACAGACAGAAAUGAAACUUAAACCAACUAACCGGAUCGAAACAACGACGAACUCGAAUGGAAACAAAUCUGCCGGGAAACUUUGAAACCAAAAUAAACUCGAAUCCGGAAUCUCAACAACGACCUCGACUCUCACCUCUCUCUCGACGACGGGUGGCUGUGGACUGCUUGAGGGUUGUUGACGACGAGUCGUGUGUCGUUUCAGAUGGGAACAUGGCGUUACUGUGAAUGGCUGGACUGCUUGUGGUCGACUUGUUGUUUGGGUUCGAUGCUGGAGGACGAACUGCUAUGGCAGCGGGCUGCGGAGGUUCUAUAGUAAAGAUGUGGGAUGAAGGUUGUUUGGAACGUAAGGGAGGCAGUAGGUGUGGUUGCGGUGGUUCGUUUGGGUGGUUGCUGCAACUUCUAGCUCUAUAAGGUUUUUGGUUGUCCAUGAUCGAGAAGGUGAAGAUGACUGUGGUGAUGGUGGGUCGUUUCUGUUAGUUUAAGAAGCAGAAGAAAAACCGAUGGGAGUCGUUUUGACGUGCUGCAGUUGAAGGUUUUUGAGGUGGAGGAAGGGGGGCGUGUGUGGGGUGGCGUGAAGAAGAUGAAGAGAGGGGGUGGGUGCUUAAGUGUGACGACUAGGUUAAGGUUAGAGAGGGUUAGUGUGUCUUUAGUUUUUUGAGUAACAAAAAAUGAAAAAA
rnacentral:lncRNA from 1 species